AUGGUAGUGUGGAGUUUCUCCAUGUGAGAGUAGGUCAUCGUCAAGC
rnacentral:rRNA from 1 species